UAUAUUGGCAGAAUAGUGCAUUAGGUUUAGAUCCUAAUAAUGUAAUAUUUAUUACAUUUAACA
rnacentral:tRNA from 1 species